GCCCUUACUCCUACGGGAGGCAGCAGUGGGGAAUAUUGCACAAUGGGCGCAAGCCUGAUGCAGCGACGCCGCGUGCGGGAUGGAGGCCUUCGGGUUGUAAACCGCUUUUGUUUGGGAGCAAGCCCUUCGGGGUGAGUGUACCUUUCGAAUAAGCACCGGCUAACUACGUGCCAGCAGCCGCGGUAAUACGUAGGGUGCGAGCGUUAUCCGGAUUUAUUGGGCGUAAAGGGCUCGUAGGCGGUUCGUCGCGUCCGGUGUGAAAGUCCAUCGCCUAACGGUGGAUCUGCGCCGGGUACGGGCGUGCUGGAGUGCGGUAGGGGAGACUGGAAUUCCCGGUGUAACGGUGGAAUGUGUAGAUAUCGGGAAGAACACCAAUGGCGAAGGCAGGUCUCUGGGCCGUUACUGACGCUGAGGAGCGAAAGCGUGGGGAGCGAACAGGAUUAGAUACCCUGGUAGUCCACGCCGUAAACGGUGGAUGCUGGAUGUGGGGCCCUUCCACGGGUCCCGUGUCGGAGCCAACGCGUUAAGCAUCCCGCCUGGGGAGUACGGCCGCAAGGCUAAAACUCAAAGAAAUUGACGGGGGCCCGCACAAGCGGCGGAGCAUGCGGAUUAAUUCGAUGCAACGCGAAGAAACUUUACCUGGGCUUGACAUGUUNCCGACGACGGCGGAGACGUCGUUUCUCUUCNGGGCGGGGUCACAGUGGUGCAUGGUCGUCGUCAGCUCGUGUCGUGAGAUGUUGGGUCAAGUCCCGCAACGAGCGCANCCU
rnacentral:rRNA from 1 species